CCAAUAGCGUAUAUUAAAGUUGUUGCAGUUAAAAAGCUCGUAGUUGAAUUUCGGGAUCAAUAUAUCGGUCGUGCCAUUGGUACGUACUGGUAUCAUUGGCUUCUCCUUUCUGACUAACCAUGAUGUCCUUAAUUUGGUGUUAUGGGAAGUUAGGACUGUUACUUUGAAAAAAUUAGAGUGUUUAAAGUAGGCUUUAGCUUGAAUACAUUAGCAUGGAAUAAUGAAAUAGGACGUUCGAACCUAUUUUGUUGGUUUCUAGGAUCAACGUAAUGAUUAAUAGGGGUAGUUGGGGGCAUUAGUAUUCAAUUGUCAGAGGUGAAAUUCUUGGAUUUAUUGAAGACUAACUACUGCGAAAGCAUUUGCCAAGGAUGUUUUCAUUAAUCAAGAACGAAAGUUAGGGGAUCGAAGACGAUCAGAUACCGUCGUAGUCUUAACCAUAAACUAUGCCGACUAGGGAUCGGAUGAUGUUAAUUUUUUAAUGACUCAUUCGGCGCCUUACG
rnacentral:rRNA from 1 species